rnacentral:rRNA from 1 species
GAUUCCUCCUUCUUGACAAACCGUGAUGUCAUUAAUUUGGUGUUGCGGGAAAUCAGGACUGUUACUUUGAAAAAAUUAGAGUGUUUAAAGCAGGCUAACGCUUGAAUACAUUAGCAUGGAAUAAUGAAAUAGGACGUUUGAUCCUAUUUUGUUGGUUUCUAGGAUUGACGUAAUGAUUAAUAGGGAUAGUUGGGGGCAUUAGUAUUCAAUUGUCAAAGGUGAAAUUCUUGGAUUUAUUGAAAACUAACUACUGCGAAAGCAUUUGCCAAGGAUGUUUUCAUUAAUCAAGAACGAAAGUUAGGGGAUCGAAAACAAUCAAAUACCGUCGUAAUCUUAACCAUAAACUAUGCCGACUAGGGAUCGGAUGAUGUUAAUUUUUUAAUGACUCAUUCGGCGCCUUACG